GAGAGAGACAAGAUAGUUUUCACUGAAAAGUAUGGUCAACUGUUAAGUAGAACCACAAAAUUCUCUUGCUGGGUGUUCCGCAAUUGAUCAGUUCAAACAACAGUCUAGUCCACUCCCCCAUGGCCUACUAAGAUGUGUAAUCUGACUGAAGGACAUGCAUUGCAUGGUAUCAAAGGUGACAUCUAAUUUCUGAGCCUACAAAGUCUUAGCUCCACAGGCUAAUGGGGACUAUGCAAAGUAAAUGCAGAAGUGACUAUUUUCCAUCUACAAACACAUAAAUUAAAAUCACCUUCAGUGAUGGGAGAGCCAAAGAAUUAUUGUGCAAAGAGAAUUGUUGAGCUACAAAAUGACAAAAUUUCCACCAGCUUGAUGACUAAUUGAUAAAUAACGGGCACACUGCAUAAGCACCUGAACUGCAGGUACCUUAUAUAUAUCAAUCAGUAAUAGGUGUAAAAUUAAUGGGAAAAAGGGAAAUAGUUUGAAGGCGCGUGAUAAAAAAUGUUUUUCAUUUAACAUUAAGCCAGUGACAGCAUCACAUAUUUUCACAUGAAAAAAUUAUCAAAAGCGAUUCAACAACAAUAACAACUAAGUCUU
rnacentral:misc_RNA from 1 species